rnacentral:lncRNA from 1 species
CAAAAGAGUCCUGUUGAAAUACAGUAAAGGACACAGUUCUUCUCUCCAGGCAGCUUUUCCAAAUACAAAUUUCACACUUUCCAAAUAAGGGCUUUUCUUGAUAGGUUACUGAUUAUGGGUAUUAACAGGAGUUGAAAGAAUUGAAGGGUUAGUCACCAAAAAGACAGAUCUUAGUCUUAAAUCAUAGCAAUUCUUGGCUUUAUAAACUGUAUUGAUACGUUCUCCUAUAAACUAGUCCCAAUUUCCUUCAUGGGCCUUCACUGAGUUACUUGUAGCAUUCUAAUGGAAGAAGAGAGUUUAAGAGAUUUAAGAGACAGCAGUUUGGAUUUUGCUGGAAGUAAGGAUUUUGCUGCUUGAGCACUUGUCUUUUUGGAGUAAUUCCAUUUUCUUCCAUCAAGUUACAUAAACUGUAUCUGUGCUCCUGAUACAGGGCCAAAGGGGUUUGGAGGUCUCAUGACAGGCUGGCUGUAUAUUAAGGUUGGUUGCGUCAUUACAGGAACACUUCCCAUUUGUGGAGGAAUUCCAUAUCCUAUCAUGCCUGUUGGUGUAGUAGCAGGAUAGGCCAUUACAGGGGGUGC